AGCAGCAUGGCUUAGUGGAAAAAAGCAUGGGCCUGGGAGCCAGAGGUCUUGGGUUCUAAUCCCAGCCCUGCCA
rnacentral:tRNA from 1 species